AUUUGUCCACCUGUGUGUGGGUGCCUGUGGAGUGCAGAAAAUGGACUUUGAUCCCACGGAGCAGGAGUUACAGGUGAUUGUUAACUGUCUGAUGUGGAUGCUGACAACUAAAUCCCUUCCUCUGGAAGAGCAGUAAGCUCUCACAACUGGGUUUCUAAGUGUUGUUGAGUCUGGUGAAAAUCCAACCCUCAGGACACACCAAAUUUUCUUAAGCAGAGCAACUUUAUUGAUUUGAACAGCAGACUGACUGGCCAGGGCCACAGAAAAGACUUGGGAGCUGAUACUGCAACCUGGAUUCUUUUGGUCUUCAGAUGAAAAUGUUGAACUCUCAACUCCACCUGCACCAUAACUGCCUGGAUGCUGCCAUGCUCCUGCCUUGAUGAUAAUGGACUGAACCUCU